UCAACGCAGAGUGGGCGUGCUCUUUUGAUUGCUUCUGCUUGGGGAAAAACAAAAUUGGGCUAAAGGAAAACACACGUUGAACGCCAGGACACGGAUUCUUUGUGACGCAAGUCAUGCUGCUCCUGAAGAAGCAUGCAUGGGAAGCCAACAUGUGUGUUUGUAUUAACUCUACGUCUCCAUCAUAUCUGUCUCGUAACGUCCGGUCACUUUUUCGGACAGUACGUAUGCCUUCAAGAGAACAACACUGCUUUUGAACUUCUGUGUACAAGCUAAUAAAAAUAACAUAUUGCCGCU